GACGAACGCUGGCGGCGUGCUUAACACAUGCAAGUCGAACGGAAAGUCCCUGCUUUUGUGGGGUGCUCGAGUGGCGAACGGGUGAGUAACACGUGAGUAACCUGCCCUUGACUUUGGGAUAACUUCAGGAAACUGGGUCUAAUACCGGAUAGGAGCUCUUGCUGCAUGGUGGGGGUGGGUUAGUUUCGGCGGUUGGGGAUGGACUCGCGGCUUAUCAGCUUGGUGGUGGGGUAGUGGAUUACCAAGGCUUUGACGGGUAGCCGGCCUGCGAGGGUGAGCGGCCACAUUGGGACUGAGAUAAGGCCCAGACUCCUACGGGAGGCAGCAGUGGGGAAUAUUGCACAAUGGGCGGAAGCCUGAUGCAGCAACGCAGCGCGCGGGAUGACGGCCUUCGGGUUGUAAACCGCUUUCGCCUGUGACGAAGCGUGAGUGACGGUACCGGGUAAAGAAGCACCGGCUAACUACGUG
rnacentral:rRNA from 1 species